AAGUUACAUGUUUUUCUUGUACUAUUACAGACAUAUUCUGAUAAGAUUCAGAUUUCUCAUCAUUGUAUUCUGAUAAGUUAGAAGAGCAUUGAAGAACGUCUUUAAACAGGAUACUCAGAGCAUGAUUAAUUGAAGAUUUUUAGGGUGGAGUUCUUGGCGGAAUAUCAAAAACUGUCUAUUAACUCUUAGUUAAAAAUGCUAAGAACCGAUUCUUAAAUAAGAUAUUUAAAAGUCGGUUUUUAGCAUUUUUAGUUAAAAGUAAAGAGACAGUUUCUUAUAUUCUGCUAAAAAUUUCACCUUAAGAACUUUUUAUUAAUCAUGGUCAAAUAAACAGAAGAGCUCUAGAAGAACUUAGAAAUGGAUCGUUAGUAAUUAACCUUGAAAACUGUGCUUGUUAACUCCGAACAGACAAGAACUCCUAAGCCACAAGGCGGAAAAACGACUUAUUCAUGACCGCACUAUGAAACCAGAGAAAAUACAUACCCAAACAAUAUUAACGUGCCAAAACAUUCCUAAACUAAAUAAGAAUUU
rnacentral:lncRNA from 1 species